UACAGAGGUCCCAAGCGUUGUUCGGAUUCAUUGGGCGUAAAGGGUGCGUAGGCGGCGCGGUAAGUCGGGUGUGAAAUCUCGGAGCUUAACUCCGAAACUGCAUUCGAUACUGCCGUGCUUGAGGACUGGAGAGGAGACUGGAAUUUACGGUGUAGCGGUGAAAUGCGUAGAUAUCGGGAGGAACACCAGUGGCGAAGGCGGCUUUCUGGUCUGCUCUUGACGCUGAGGCGCGAAAGCUAGGGUAGCAAACGGG
rnacentral:rRNA from 1 species